rnacentral:rRNA from 1 species
UCAGAUUGACGCUGCGGCAUGCCUUACACAUGCAAGUCAACGGCAGGCACGGGGCGAACCUGGUGGCGAGUGGCGAACGGGUGAGUAAUAUAUCGGAAGUACCCUGGAGUGGGGGAUAACGUAGCGAAAGUUACGCUAAUACCGCAUACGAUCUAAGGAUGAAAUGGGGGAUUCGCAAGAACCUCAUGCUCCUGGAGCGGCCGAUAUCUGAUUAGCUAGUUGGUGAGGUAAAGGCUCACCAAGGCUUCGAUCAGUAGCUGGUCUGAGAGGACGACCAGCCACACUGGAACUGAGACACGGUCCAGACUCCUACGGGAGGCAGCAGUGGGGAAUUUUGGACAAUGGGCGCAAGCCUGAUCCAGCAAUGCCGCGUGAGUGAAGAAGGCCUUCGGGUUGUAAAGCCCUUUUGUCAGGGAAGAAACGGUGAAGGCUAAUAUCCUUUGCUAAUGACGGUACCUGAAGAAUAAGCACCGGCUAACUACGUG